AGUCGAACGGUGAGCCAAGCUUGCUUGGUGGAUCAGUGGCGAACGGGUGAGUAACACGUGAGCAACCUGCCCUGGACUCUGGGAUAAGCGCUGGAAACGGCGUCUAAUACUGGAUAUGAGACGUGAUCGCAUGGUCGUGUUUGGAAAGAUUUUUCGGUCUGGGAUGGGCUCGCGGCCUAUCAGCUUGUUGGUGAGGUAAUGGCUCACCAAGGCGUCGACGGGUAGCCGGCCUGAGAGGGUGACCGGCCACACUGGGACUGAGACACGGCCCAGACUCCUACGGGAGGCAGCAGUGGGGAAUAUUGCACAAUGGGCGAAAGCCUGAUGCAGCAACGCCGCGUGAGGGAUGACGGCCUUCGGGUUGUAAACCUCUUUUAGCAGGGAAGAAGCGAAAGUGACGGUACCUGCAGAAAAAGCGCCGGCUAACUACGUGCCAGCAGCCGCGGUAAUACGUAGGGCGCAAGCGUUAUCCGGAAUUAUUGGGCGUAAAGAGCUCGUAGGCGGUUUGUCGCGUCUGCUGUGAAAUCCCGAGGCUCAACCUCGGGCCUGCAGUGGGUACGGGCAGACUAGAGUGCGGUAGGGGAGAUUGGAAUUCCUGGUGUAGCGGUGGAAUGCGCAGAUAUCAGGAGGAACACCGAUGGCGAAGGCAGAUCUCUGGGCCGUAACUGACGCUGAGGAGCGAAAGGGUGGGGAGCAAACAGGCUUARAUACCCUGGUAGUCCACCCCGUAAACGUUGGGAACUAGUUGUGGGGACCAUUCCACGGUUUCCGUGACGCAGCUAACGCAUUAAGUUCCCCGCCUGGGGAGUACGGCCGCAAGGCUAAAACUCAAAGGAAUUGACGGGGACCCGCACAAGCGGCGGAGCAUGCGGAUUAAUUCGAUGCAACGCGAAGAACCUUACCAAGGCUUGACAUAUACGAGAACGGGCCAGAAAUGGUCAACUCUUUGGACACUCGUAAACAGGUGGUGCAUGGUUGUCGUCAGCUCGUGUCGUGAGAUGUUGGGUUAAGUCCCGCAACGAGCGCAACCCUCGUUCUAUGUUGCCAGCACGUAAUGGUGGGAACUCAUGGGAUACUGCCGGGGUCAACUCGGAGGAAGGUGGGGAUGACGUCAAAUCAUCAUGCCCCUUAUGUCUUGGGCUUCACGCAUGCUACAAUGGCCGGUACAAAGGGCUGCAAUACCGUGAGGUGGAGCGAAUCCCAAAAAGCCGGUCCCAGUUCGGAUUGAGGUCUGCAACUCGACCUCAUGAAGUCGGAGUCGCUAGUAAUCGCAGAUCAGCAACGCUGCGGUGAAUACGUUCCCGGGUCUUGUACACACCGCCCGUCAAGUCAUGAAAGUCGGUAACACCUGAAGCCGGUGGCCCAACCCUGUGGAGGGAGCCUC
rnacentral:rRNA from 1 species